ensembl:lincRNA
GACGCGGAGACUGCGCGCACAAGGAGGACGCGGGCGUGCGCUGCUUGGGUGAGUGGGGGGCGGUGGGAGAUGGGUCAUGAGGCCGGCAGAGGCCGCUGGGAUGGAGUCGGUCUUGAGUGUUGCUUCCGUCGCUUCGGUGGGCAGGAGAGCACGCCCAGGCUUUAGCGGGCUGGUUUCCACCCUGGGAUUUUUCUGGGAUAAGCUGAUUUGCUGUGGAGGCCUGUUUGGGACAUGCACCCCCUGAGGUUUCCUCCAAUCUUUUUUGGGAAUUCCCUUUUGUUUAUUCCAAUGCUUGUUCAUUUCGGGUACGUGUCACCUGGGUGUUGGCAGGUUCAGUUGUUCCCAAAGCCUGCACCUCAUUCUCUUUGCAGAAAACAAACAGUUAACCACAGCGAUGACCUUAGCACAAAUAGCAGCAAGCCUGGCCCAGGCUCCCCGCUGCCUGCAGCGCCCUUCCGGACACUCUGGGUGGUCAGUGUCAUCCUGGGAGCCCUUCUUGGUCUUCUCCUUCUGGGCCUCAUGGCCUUUCUGAUUCUGCCUCGAGUCACACAAGCCAUGCAGAGGGGUCUGGGAAGAUCUGAGGCAUCUCCUGAAGAAGCGAUCUAUGAUGUCAUUGGGGAAAUGCCGCUAGCAGGACUGUACGAGGAAAUCGUGGAGGCUGAGGCCGUGCCCCAGGAUGAGGAGGACGCAGGUGUGGUGAAGGGGGACACAGAAACAGCAGUUUCAGGGGAGGCGUCUAACCUCCUGGAGGGACAGUCUACACGUGUGGAGGGAGGAACCAACAGACCCGUUUCUCAGGGAUAUGACGAGGCUGUGUUUCCACUGGAGGAGAUGACAUUGUAAAGCACCCUGAGGAGGAGAUCCACCAGCUGGCUGUCGAAAUCACAGCUCUUCAUUCUCUUGUACAGUUGUAGUAGAUUUCGUGAGAACGUCUUGGAUGCCUUUCUCUUGCAAUGUCCUCCACAUCCGUAUAAAAUCCAGUCUUUCCAGGCCCUGCCUGGCUCUAACCCCCAGCCCCUUCGAGGGCCAUCUGCUGUGGACGGUUGUGCUGGGUAACCUUCAGAUUUCUCACACAUUACAGCAAAUGCAAAUAUGUAUAGAAAUCAGUGGUUACGUUUGUGGUUUAGAGACACGUGGUGCCAUCUUCAUCUUCUGCACCCAGCAGUGCGUUGCAGAGCUCCUCACGCCAGAACAUUCCUCUUUUUUCUUAAAAACUCUUCUUAAUUGAAUCCAAAGUAUCUUUUAGAUGUCUACUUGUGUAAUCAUGUCAUCCGUGAAUAUUCAGAUUUAUCUUCUCCUUCCAAUCCAUGUACCUUUAAUCUCUUUUUCUGUGCUUUAUUUUGUGGACUGGGACCCUUCAGUCCAGUGUUGAAUAGAGGUGGCCAAUGGGGAUCUUGUCUCAUUCAUGGACUCAGAGCAAACGUGUUCCACAUUUAAUUUCACUAUUAAAUAUAAUAUUUGAUGUUCGGUUUUGUAGAUGCUAUUUAUCAGAUCAAGGAAAGCCCAGUCUAUCCCUAAUUUGUUAAGGGUUUUGCUUUUUAUCAUAAAUAAGUGUUGACUUUUAUGAAAUUCUUUUUGGUAUCUAUUAAGAUGAUAGAUGAUUUGAUUUUCAUAUGUUACAUUAACCAUGGGUUAAACAAACUUACCUUUAUCAUGAUAUAUUAUUCUUUUUGUAUUUCAC